rnacentral:rRNA from 1 species
UACGAGGGGUCCUAGCGUUGUUCGGAAUUAUUGGGCGUAAAGAGUAUGUAGGCGGCCAAAUAAGUCAGGUGUGAAAUCCCCGGGCUCAACCCGGGAAGUGCAUUUGAUACUGUCUGGCUUGAGUAUGGAAGAGGGUAGUGGAAUUCCUGGUGUAGUGGUGAAAUACGUAGAUAUCAGGAGGAACACCGGUGGCGAAGGCGGCUACCUGGUCCUAUACUGACGCUGAGAUACGAAAGCAUGGGGAGCAAACAGG